rnacentral:rRNA from 1 species
AACGCUGGCGGCGUGCUUAACACAUGCAAGUCGAACGGAGGUUACGGCUUCGGCUGUAACUUCAGUGGCGGACGGGUGAGUAACGCGUGGGUAACCUGCCUUACACCGGGGGAUAACAGUUGGAAACGACUGCUAAUACCGCAUAAGACCACGGGGCCGCAUGGUUCUGGGGUAAAAGUUCCGGCGAUGUAAGGUGGACCCGCGUCUGAUUAGCCAGUUGGCGGGGUAACGGCCCACCAAAGCGACGAUCAGUAGCCGACCUGAGAGGGUGAUCGGCCACAUUGGGACUGAGACACGGCCCAAACUCCUACGGGAGGCAGCAGUGGGGAAUAUUGGGCAAUGGGCGAAAGCCUGACCCAGCGACGCCGCGUGAGUGAAGAAGUAUUUCGGUAUGUAAAGCUCUAUCAGCAGGGAAGAUAAUGACGGUACCUGACUAAGAAGCACCGGCUAAAUACGUGCCAGCAGCCGCGGUAAUACGUAUGGUGCAAGCGUUAUCCGGAUUUACUGGGUGUAAAGGGAGCGUAGGUGGUAUGGCAAGCCAGAAGUGAAAACCCGGGGCUCAACUCCGCGGAUUGCUUUUGGAACUGUUGAACUAAAGUGCUGGAGGGGUAAGCGGAAUUCCCAGUGUAGCGGUGAAAUGC